GUCGACAGAGCUGCAGCAAUGGCGAUGAUAACAGACUUGCAGCAAGUCCGCAGUUGACAUGACAACCAACGAUUAAACAUGCACUCGUUAUUCCCGCGUGUUUUCACACAAAUUCAAAAAGCAAAAAACACUCGCUUCAAAGUACUUUAGAUCAUUUUAUUUAUCGUAUAUGUAACUGAUCAUAAUACAAUUUUACAUGUGAAAUUACAAUAAAUGCAAAAACAUUGCUAAUAUAUACUGAAACCGAUGAAAUAUACUUCACUAUUUCAACGCUUAAAAAGUAUUCUCAAUUCGUAUUUUCGUAGCUGAUAGUGAUAGUCAUAGACAAUAUCAAAGCCAUAAACAAUGCUGUUUAUAUAAACUACAGAGGCCGGUUGUACGAAUGGUGGAUCAGAAUCGCUAUCCGGUGGAUAAGUCGCUAUCCAGCGGAUAAAUUUUAUCUGGAGUGAAAAUCGCGUUGUACGAAGC